AGUGAACGCUGGCGGUAGGCCUAACACAUGCAAGUCGAACGGCAGCACAGUAAGAGCUUGCUCUUACGGGUGGCGAGUGGCGGACGGGUGAGGAAUACAUCGGAAUCUACUUUUUCGUGGGGGAUAACGUAGGGAAACUUACGCUAAUACCGCAUACGACCUACGGGUGAAAGCGGGGGAUCUUCGGACCUUGCGCGAUUGAAUGAGCCGAUGUCGGAUUAGCUAGUUGGCGGGGUAAAGGCCCACCAAGGCGACGAUCCGUAGCUGGUCUGAGAGGAUGAUCCGCCACACUGGAACUGAGACACGGUCCAGACUCCUACGGGAGGCAGCAGUGGGGAAUAUUGGACAAUGGGGGAAAGCCUGAUCCAGCCAUACCGCGUGGGUGAAGAAGGCCUUCGGGUUGUAAAGCCCUUUUGUUGGGAAAGAAAAGCAGCAGGUUAAUACCCCGCUGUUCUGACGGUACCCAAAGAAUAAGCACCGGCUAACUUCGUG
rnacentral:rRNA from 1 species